GAGAGAGAGAGAGAGAGAGAGAGAGAUAGCAACAUAGUUGAUAAUGCAUCGAUGUAUAGUUGACCGGGAAAUAUGAUUGAAAAUCCAUUGAUUUUUGGUUGACCGGGAGAUCAACGGGUGGUAAACCAACGACACAAGCUCAUUUCUGGACCCUUGGCACAAGCGUAGCUACAGGUAAGCUUGCUUAAUGUUCGAUAUGAAUGAAUCAAAUACCGUUAGGCUGAUCGUUGUAGUAUAAUGAUUAGUCUAGUAACCAACGCAGUGCUGCAGCUAACGUUAGUCAUGAAAUAGAUUUUUGUUUUACUAAUGUGUUAAAAUCUUCCAAAAGCAGGCUAGCCUACUUCGUGGUUCUCUUUACAGUUAGCAAAACCUCAGAGUCCAGUCUAUUUUUAUAGCUAGCUCAAAAUACACGUCACUCGGUACCCAUUGCUAAUAGUGUCGGGAAAUCUAUUUUACAGUCACCGCUAUUUCUUCUGCCCGCCGGAAAACACUAUAAUAACAGUAUGCUCCAUCUAGCGCUAACGGUAACGUCCAUCAAGCUAGCCUGUUGGCGGCGCCGUGCGCUCAAACCUUUGAGAAAUCAUGGCUGAUUAGCACUACGUAGCCACCACCAAGGGCACGAAGUCAUGUCGUGCAUGUUUGAGCUCUAACGUUAACGUUACCCCACAGAAGUGACCGCGGCGGGCCAGAAUUACACAAAAUACAUGACUUACCUUAUUAUUCAAUGCAGAACUGUCUCGAGUUGUAACUGGAAAAGCCAACCAUCUCGUCGUAAUACAAAUCCAAAAUAUUAAAAAUCCUCGAGCAGGGCUGCAUAUGCGUGGGAUACAGUUUUGUAACUCCUGUUUGUCGUUUUAUAGACAAGUUUACGAGCCGUUUCGUGGGCGCCAUUCCUCUACAGAAAUGCAUUUCACUUCUGCCGGUGGUUUUCCCAGCGUCUGCCGGUGUAAACAGCGAUGUCGAUGCUAGUUUGGGAACACGGAUCUACGUAUUUGACUGAGAUGGCGUUACUAUCCCGCACCCCAAUCCAGUGCAGAACUGGGAGGAUAACAUGACAUCGUGGCCCAGCAUUACGUACAGCGAGAUUUGCUCAUACUUCGUGCAAUCGAGCAAUGGACAGUCUGAAAGCCUCCGAGGCAGUUCAGUAUCUGACAGCAACAAAGCCGGUUGUGUCAUGUCAUACAAACAUGACCGUUUUGUAUAUCUAAAAACAAAAGUACAUGUUUGCUCAGUGUAUGUGUUAAUAUAUUGGGCUAAUUUUGUUAUAAUUGCACAAGAUAAUUGUUUAUAAAUACAUUUUAUAAUCUAAUAAUGUCAACAGUUAAUAACCAAAUUAAUGUUAAAAGAACGUUCAGGAUAUUUUUAAUAAUUGUUUUAAUGUUAAUGUUAAGGUUAAUCUUUUUCACACAAGCCCAUGUCAGAUUGAUGUGCCUCUGUGUCUACAGGAAAUACACAGAAAUUAAAUAUCAAGUCAAUUUUAUUCCUAACAGGUAUUAAAAAGUAAAAUACAAAAGCAGCCCACACAAUUACAUCACAAUGAAAAUAUUCAUAUAUUAAAAGAAAAUAAAAUGCAGUAUUUGUUUAUCUGUAUUUAAUGAACAAGAUGACUAGGUGUUGGCAAGGCUCUAAACCUCACGAGGCACUCUGAUCAGUGGACUCUUCAGGUUAACUAGGCCAGCAUAGAUGGUUAAGAUGUUGUGAUAAACUUAUCACUGCUUCUGCCAGCAUUAUCACUAUUAUCACUUUGGCCUAGCUACUGGAUUGAUGUCAAAACUGAAAUCUUUGAUCCUUCCUGCCAAUUUGACGACAAUUAAGCUGCAGUUCAGUAUAGAUGGUUUACGGCUUUUCCGAAGGAGCAGAACUCAGUUCUGGCCCAUUCUAGCUACCAUUAAUGUUGAUUACAGAAAAUCGCCAUUCCUUGUCGGCCUUUUCUGUGGCUUUACCAAACCAAAGAGUGUCUUUGAGUUCUUAGGUCCAUUUAUUGAGGACCUGAGUGGCAUUCUAAAAAAUGGCAUUGUUCACAAUAGGCAGCAGAUUAUGGCAGAAGUGUGCUCAUUUAUAUGCGAUGCCCCAGCAUGAGCUUUUAUUAAAAAUAUAAAAAGCCACAAUGGUUAUUCAGGCUGCGACAAGUGUUUUCAAGUGGGUGAAUGUCACAACAAAAUGACAUAUCCAGAAACAAAUGUUAGAUUGAGGACAGACACAGACUUCAACUCCAUGACCGAUGAUGAACACCACCAAAACCAAACACUAUCCCCACUAGCUAGUAUGAUCAAAAUGGUGACAAUGUUCCCAUUAGAUUACAUGCACUUGUGCUGUCUUGGGGUAACCAGGAAGUUCCUAUAUAUUUGGAUGAGGGGCAAAUCACUGGCAACUAGGUUGUCAAGUAAAUCAAUUGAAGAGAUUUCCGUUAAAUUGAAGGGACUUAAGACCCUACACUCCUUCUGAGUUCAGUCGGAAACCCAGGCACCUCUCUGAAAUAGAUCGGUGGAAGGCUACAGAGCUUCGAUAUUUCAUGCUUUAUGCUGGCCCAGUAGUCCUGAAAAAUACCAUUGCCCUUGAAAUUUAUGAAAACUUUAUGUUACUUUCUGUGGCCAUGCAUCUGCUGGUGUCUCCUGGAACAUCAGAGGAAAUGAUAGAUUGCGCUCAGAGAUUGUUAACUUCAUUCGUAACUCACUUUGGGCAGCUAUAUGGGAAAGGUGAAAUCACCUACAAUGUCCAUCAUCUAACACACUUGGCAUCAGAAUACCGUCUGUUUGGUCCCUUAGACAACAUAUCUGCAUUUCCUUACGAGAAUUAUUUAGCGCAACUGAAACACCUAUUGCGCAAGCCUCACUUGCCUUUACAGCAAGUAGUUAAAAGGCUCUCAGAAUCACCUGAUCCGACCUUGGACACAGUGAAGAAAGGACAAAAAUUCAUGCAUCCUCAUUAUGAUGGUCCAUUAAUCUCUUCAUUAAGUUGUGGAGACCAGUACCGUAAGCUUGUCACAGAAAAGUACACAUUAUCAUCUUGUUCUGGGGAUAAUUGUUUUCAAAUUGUAGAUGACAUUGCCAUUGUUGAAAACAUUGUCAAGGUAGGUCAGGAGACUUACAUAAUUUUUCGAAAGUUUACCAAAAAAGAGUCCUAUGGCCAGUAUCCCUUUCCUUCGGCAAACAUUGGGGUAUAUACAGUUUGGGGGUUGUGCAAGUAUGUCGGUGUGACGAGGCUUCAGCACAUUGGCAAAAAGUACAUACUUUAUCCUGACAAAACACAGUUGAUUGCCAUUCCCAUCAUUCACACCAAUUAAAAUGUCCAAAUCAGUUUAUAAGUACAUUUCUUUUUUUUUAGAGUCUUUGAAAAAAUUAAAAAAUGUCCAGAUGGUGCGUUGUGCAGUUCAGCAAUGGUGCAACAGAAACUGUGCCAAACACAUGGGUGGAAGGGGAUAAAGUCUUCUGGCCCCCAUACCCUCCUAAGGACUCUAUUAGGCUGAAUGCAGCCAUCCUGAACAGAGAACAGCCUGGACAGGGAUGGCACACAUAUCAACCUAUCCGGCUCCUCAUAACUCGUGGUGGGUGUUCUGGUAUAAGAAUCUGAAAUAUGCUUGAAAUAUGUCACUUGGCAUGCAAUGAGUCUAUAUAAUAUAUUAGUUUAACAUUUUAAGUUGAAUUCCUGAAAUAAAUGAACUUUUCCACAAUUUAUUGGGAAGCACUAGUAUUUCUCCUGACUCCGACAGUACUUGACUGAUUAUGCUUGUAGAUAGCCAUGAUGAGGCAGUGAGGAGCCUGGACAGAUAUGUGAAUAAAGACUGUGACACCACUGACAUCCAGUCUGAGGAGGAGAGCCACCAUGGCCUAAAAAGAAAAAGAAGACCAAAUCCAUUGUAUCAUUCCGAUGAGGAGCCCCAGAAUGAGCGGAGAUUCGCCCAAGCCCCCAAAGUUUUACUUCCAGCAAUCCAACUAGCCAGUCAGGACAGCCAACCACCACCACCUCCACGAAUACAUCAAACCCUCCAGUGCCCCAAUUCCCCCAUGUGUUCUUACCCCAAUGUCCCAGCAUUGUUCCCUGGAGAUGAAUUGGCGUUCUCCCCCAUGAAUUUACUCCAGAGGCCAUCUCCUGAAGAUGUGGCCAUGCAAAAACUUCUUACUGCAGUGACAGAGUUGUCCAAGGAGGUGAAGGACCUGCGAGAGGAGUUCAGGCAAUUCCGCCAGUCCUGCAAGUGUGGACAGUCGGAGUCUGUGGGACGGCCACUGGCGGAGCCCUUGGAGCUGCCCCUCCGCACUAUGGAGGCCCUGGACCACCGCUCGUCUCAUCACUAUUGGAGGUGAGGGUCCGCCGUAUGAUGGCACACCUGUUGUCAAAUGAACUGGCUUCUGGACUGAACUGGGCUGGAAAAAAGAACAAGGAGCCUACAAAACAAAAACGUCCGUUUAAAGAGUUGGCACUCUGCCGAUCUAUGUUUGAUGCGCUUACUCAGCAGAUGGGGGCAGAUGCCGUCACCCAAUUCAAUUUUUCCCAAGCUGUGCAAAAGUGGCUGCGCUAUGCGCCAGACCGGACAGGAGGGACUGGACGACAAAAUAAUCAGGCGUCAGAGGACAUUGAAGAGUAAAUAAAGAGUACAAAUAGUUAAAUAAAAAGGCUAAGGUGUGUUCAUUGUUUUAUAGGCCGAUUUCAAAUGUUCCAUUAGCCUACUUAACAUCCUAGCUGUAGAUAAAGCAGGCUAUUUAAUUUAUGGCAUUUAAAAUUAACAUUUAAAAACGAUUGAAAUUCCGUUGAAAUAACGUUGAUCCUUAGUUCAGUUGAAAUUUCAACAGUGUUUCAAUAUUCCUUUAAAUUGAAAUACCAUUGAAAUUCCGUUGAUCUAUGGACAGGAUAUCAACAUUGUUUCUGUUGAGUUGAGUUGCAGACCGAGCCCCUCUCUGGCUGGGAGGUAGGUUUAGGUGUGUCUCUCAGGCUGGAGGCGGAGAUUUUAAUGCACCAGGUGGAGAGGAUCUGGCGAUCAGGGGGGUUGGAGGCACUCACUCACAGGACAGUGAAGAGCGAGCAGUGUGAGAAAGCGAGAUUGAAGAGCUUGGAAAGAGGAGACUGCAGGAAUAAAGCUAAAGACUGAAGAAGGAGCCGGUGAGCUUUUGAGUGGCUGACUACUUAUGGCAUCAAAUGCAAGAUCAAAUGUCCAUAUAUUUAAUGUGUGUUUUAAAAAGUAUUCAAGCUAAAAGUAAUUGGAUAAAACUUGAUUUGUGUGUAUUCAGCGGAGUUAAAAGCUGCUAAAGUUUAUAAGGUUAAAAUCAUUAUUAAAUAGUGUUUUAAAAAUGUAUUUAAUUUAGUCUUGGGAUACUUUAAAUUUGGGUUGUCUUUCUACUUAUUUUUUAGGUUAAUUUCCAGUAGAUUAUAAAUUAAGUAUGUGAUGUUAGGUAUGUGAAUUGAUUAUGGUUUCUUGGGUUAUAUUUCUUUGACCUUCCAUUAGUGUUUGUAUUUCAAGGUUUUUCACCUGGUUUGACCUGGACAAUUUUAAAAAUAAAAAGCAAGAAAGCAAAGAAGUCCGAAUCUUGGUCAUUGAGUGGAAUCCAGUCUACACUUCUUAGCAAGUUGCCCUUUCAAGUGGAGAGCUGCAGUUUGAACCUCACAAAAGUGAGACACUUGACAGUUUCAAUAUUAAAUCAGGGUGCAAAAUGAUGUUGAAUCAACAUCAGAAUUCGACGUUGAUUCAAUGACUUAAUGUUGACAAUGCAAUGUUGAUUUAACAUUGUUUCAAUGACUGUUUGCUGUCUGGGAACACAUUCAGGGAUUGCACUUUCAAUCAUAAAGAUAACUAUAGAUCAAUGUUGUUCCAAUAUUGUUUCCAUCAACAUUAAUAACAUCAGGUUUUCAUCGAUAUGGUAAUGGUGAUUCAACGUUUAUUUUGCACAAUGUUUAUUCAAUGUUGGAUUGCUGUCUGGGAAUAGAUAUACGAAUACACAUAUACACUAUGUCAGAUAUUAUUAAUAUAAUUUUAAUUAUAAUCACAUUUGAAGAAAAUCCACUAACUUCUUUCAGCUCUUGAACCUCAAUGAGUCAGACGUCAGGGAUUUCACUUAACAAACAAAAAACAUCCACAUCCUGCACGGCAACUAGUGAAUGACAGAUUUGUAUUGGACAGAAUGUACAGAGCUGACAGCGAUUGGCUAACAAACAAAAACACGAACCCAGAUACUCGCGCGCGUCAAAUCCAAAACCGUGAGGUGACAAGCACUCGGGCAAUGACGUCACAGGCUCUGAGCCGUGCAGUACACACCCAUAAUAAAGAGGAGGUCGGAAAAAAGCAUAAAACAUCUGACGGGCUAAAAACUCGGUGGUCCGGUCAAAAUCUCCGAGAUGUGAGAAUUAGAGAGAAACGGACAGACAUAAAUUGCUUUACUAAUUAGCUCAAGUCAUCUGUUUAUGUAACAUUAUGUGCAUGAGCCAGUGGCAGCUAGCGCAAAUUAGCUAGCACUAUGCUAGAUGGCACAAUGCUAGCUAGUGCAAUGCUGGCUAGUACCAUCCCAGGUAGCAAACUGAAGCAGUAGCUAUGUCUCAAUACGUGGCCGGGGUCCUCCAACAACCGCAUAGGCUGAACCGAGCGAUCCCUGAAAUAGAUCCGUCUGUCCUACGUGAAGACUUCCUGUUUGCGUCAUCGGCUUCCCCUCCGCUUCUCCCGUUGCCUAGCAACCGGCAGCAAUUGCCAGUAAAAGCAGUGAAACACCUAAACAUGUACAAAAUACAGCUGAAGAAGGAUAAUACUCUUCUUAUUUAAUUUAAUUUAGGAAGAUAUGCUUCUCCUCCGGACCAUGAUAUAGUUCAGGCUGAGAAAAGAACAUUUCUGUUUUUUAAAAUUAAUUAAAUCAGUUAAGCCAUGAACUAUUAUCUAAAAGUAAUAUUAAUAAUAAAGAAGAGGUUGGAAAAAAGCAUCAGAAAGAAAGAGGGGAGGAAUGGAAAAAGGAGGGAAGGAAGGGAGAGAGGGGAAGGAAGGAAGAAAAGAGGGGAGGAAGGGAGAGAGAGAGGGGAGAAAGAAAGAGGGUCAGGAAGGGAGGGGGGGAAAGAGAGAGAGGGGGAGAAAUAGACGGACAGAGUGAUUAACAGUGAGAAGGCAUCGAUGCGUUUUUUAUGUCUGUCCGUUAAUAAAUACGGCUCCUGUUGAAGUUUACAAAACGUGUACCUUCUGGAUUUUUUGAGAAAUAUGUCGGCAGAUUUGUAUUGGAGCCUAUGGGGCUUUUAGCAGAGGUUGUGUGACCGUUGGUCUCCGUAGGCCAAAACUAAAGAACUCUGGGAUUCUAUGAGCACAUUAAUCCAAUCAGCACAGCCAUGUCCCCAUUAAUCUGAAGAAAUGAAGCCUCUAGAGUGUACACUUUGGCUGCAAGGACUGAAGUUCCAUAUUUUUUUAACCAGAUUCUGACGCUGCCUCACACUCUGAUCUCCGGGUCUCACUCUAGCAGACGCAAUACACACUCAUGUAAAAGUCAGAAACGGAGCGAAGAACUAGUGAAACAUAAUCAGUGAUUAUGAAAAAAGUAGAAUAGAUAUCAACAAGCUGUUUGUUUCGUGAAAUAGUUGAGACUUGUGUCAACAUUUGAAAGUUGAAAUGGUGUCUGUAGCUGAAAGAUUGGCGGAGCUGAAAAAUCUGAAAGUUGAAGAAGUUUAAGAGGAUUUGAAAACAAACUCCAUUGGAAAACCAUGUGAAGAAAUAUUCAUGAUUACUGAUUCAUAUAAAUCCAAGCUUAAAAGGUAGAAAGCUCAAAAGUCAUAGCUAGAAAGCCAGAAAGGAGCUGAAUAUUUUAAAAUGUGAACGGUUUUAAUAGCUGAAAGUGUGGAGGAGUUGAAAGGUGCAACGGAAGAAAUAGAAGAAGAAGAAGAAGAAGGCGGAAUAAAGAUUCGAAGAACAAUACUUGAAUGGUUAAUGCAUUCCAACAAUAAAUUGAUUUUGUAUGAUUAGUAACCAGGCACUAAAGCGAUAACACAUAAAACGUGCUUUGAACCAAUCCGAUUGCUUGGGUCCUAAGCUCGGACUCAUCUCUUCAGUAGGACUAAUUUGUUCACCACACCGUCUCUAUGGUUAGAAUCCUGCGUGUCCAUGGCAACGCUCUGCUUUGCAUGGCAACGCAGCGCUUAAAAAGGGGUGGGGCUACAUAAACUCUAUAAGCAAGGAAUCUGUCUGUAAGGAGUCUAUGUAUGUAUAUUAGCUGUUAAGGUCAGUGAUGGAGAGGGACAGUUUGAUGAUGACCCCUUCAGUCAUAUUGAUGAGGAGGGAGAGAAGGAGGAGCAGCAGGAGAGAGAAGGAGGAGAAGAGAGGAAGAGGAGCAGUAGGAGGAGAGAGAAGGAGGAGAAGAGAGGAAGAGGAGCAGCAGGAGAGAGAAGGAGGAGAAGAGAGGAAGAGGAGCAGCAGGAGGAGAGAAGAGGUGGUGAAGAGAGGAAGAGGAGCAGCAGGAGGAGAGAGGAGCAGGAGAAGAAAGGAGGAGCAGCAGCAGGAGGAGAGUGGAGGAGGAGCAGCAGCAGGAGGAGAAGAGAGGUAGAGCAGGAUCCAGGAAACAGACUGGUAGAGGGGCAGUGUGCAGGGCUGGGUGGGCAAUCAUAUUAGGCAUAUCAAUCAAUCAAAGCUUUAUUAAGGACACGCACACAAAAAUAGAAAAAUAAAGCACAAUGUUACAUAUGUUACAUAUUUACAUAUAGGAUAAAAUGCCGAUAGUUCCACAUACUAGAUAAUAACCUGACUGAAGCACAGAUUGAAUUACAAAAUGUAUUAUUCUUUGCCAUAUUUAUUACUCAUGUUCUUCUCAUGCAUAUGUUAUGUAGCUGUACAAUCCGUAAGCAGAUGCAGGGUCCAGCAUAGGGGAAGCUGAGGCAGGGAGAGUUGAAAGUGAGUACAUACACACACACACACACACACACACACACACACACACACACACACACACACACACACACACACACACACACACACACACACACACACAAUCUCUAUUGUAUGGAACUGAAUUGUAAUUUUUGAGUAUGAGUGGGUGUGAGUAUUUGUAACUAUUUUAACACUCCGACUGACUAUACACAUGACAUGAUGGUAGUUAGCAGUAUACUGUGUGACUUAUGUGUUUGAGAUUAGGUUUUGCUGACCUGGUUGUGUUCAGUGCAGUGGUGACUUGCUUAUAGAACCUGAGGAGGCAGGUGUUAUCCUAAAGUUUCUUGAAGGUCUUUAGCGUAAUCUGAUUGUCUUUAUACCAUAAAAACACUAUUAGAAUGAAAAUAACUGCAAAAAAUCCUGCUCGUGCACCAAGGGCAUUCGCAUAAAAGGCCUCUCCGACUUAGUCCCGGGCUGAAUUUCAGUCCCAGUACAUCCCUGGGUUGAUCCAUACUGGUUGUACACGGCGCUCAAGGCGCUCUGCCAAACAUGCCAAAGCUCAUCUACGACGGCGAGAUGCUGGACGGCGAGAUGCUGAGCGGCGCUCAAGCGCGUGAGAUAUGGAGCUUGUUUCAGGGCGCGUCGGAGAAACAAAGCUGUCGUUCUCGGCGAGCACUUCAUGAGAUUAAAGAGCGAGAGACGGCGCCCUUUUCUUUACAGUAGCUGAACCAUCUUAACGGGGAAAUAAGUUAUUCUAAAAGCAGCCGAAGAUUUAAGGCGUGGAUAGCGAGGGGGGCGGCGGGAGCGGACGCACCUCGCAGCAUCGAUCGGACCCUGAAAGCACCGUCUCCACCUUACUGUCAAAAAGAACAGCGAGCGCGUAGAAAACCCCUUCGAGCGCGAGCAGAGAUUCUCCUCGCGAGCAACGAAGUUCACGUUUCGCAAGCAAGCAAAUACCUCGCCGAGACGAACUUGCUCGCGGAUGUUUGAUUUUGGUUAAAUUCUUAAGGUCAUUUAAUCAUUAUUACAUUAUGUGACGGGUAGUAUCAAGGGGUCGGACUGACGUCAUCAGGUUUUACCGGCCGAGUGGAGUCCCUUCGGACGUCGUUGGGGAGGGUUCAGCUCCUCAGCCUUUCCAGGUGGCGCACAAACUGCUGUUUUGCCGUAUCCGGGUACGAGUAGCGAUUAGCAAUUGUAACCAGCUGAUAUCAUAACAUUGUAUGCGUCCUGCGCUCCGGUUUUUAUUUCGGGUACUUGCCUACUGUUAUUUUCAUUCAUUUCGAGCGGGGGGUGCCCGUUAUGUGGAGAGAUAGUGUGGGUAUUUUCAUAGAUUAGAUUUUAGCAUGUGGUGUGAUAUUGCAUGAACUGUUUUUAACGCACUUUGUUUUGCCGUUGCGUGAGUGAGUUGCUGUGUGUGUGUGUGUGUGUGUGUGUGUGUGUGUGUGUGUUGCAUGUUUAUAGGUUGCACGGGUGAUUAGAUGUACUGGGAGAUUCGCUGCCUCCACACAGACGCUCGCCCUACCCUCACCGUGGUUAGGGACCCGGGCAAGUACACAGAUUGUUCCGUGAUAAACUGUCAGUCAAAUUAGAAUAGUUUUACGGUGUUUGUUUUUACUGAUGUACUGAUAAAUUAUUGUUUUGUACAACAAUAUGAUCUCUGUUCCUUGAGUAAACCGAACCUGUAUUUUUCAGUCCGGCUCGAGGACUUCCCCCUCUUAUGAUAAAGAAAAGACCCUGGUGUUAUCCCAGUACUUAGAAGUAAAACAGCCCCUCCUCCCGCCCCCCUACUUGGUGUCACAUUUGGUGUUGCUGGCAGGUCCAAGGACAGAGACAUAUUGCCAAAGCAAUUUUGGAAUGUAUGUUUGUAUAUACCGUGCAGCUGUUUCCCUAUAGGGUCCAUACAUUUGUUGAUAGGCUUGUGUUUGGUGUAUUGUGGAGCAAAAACAGCAGUUUGUGUGCCGGAGGACCCCUAAGACAACGCUUCCAGCAGUUUUCGGAGAAGACACGGUGUUAUCAUGGACGAGGAGAUGCAAGAACUUCGGGAGAUGGUGCAAAGGUUGAAGGCAGAUAAUGAGCGGCUGUUACAGGAAAGACAGGCCCUUAACCCGGUCCCGGGCUCCUCGACCGCACCUCCCUCUGUCAACGAUGGUAGUCCUGACUCUGCGCAAAAACUCGAUACUCUCGGUAUGGAAACCCUACCAGGUCGCCACCCGUUGUUGAGCGUGUGGUGUACAUUCCCAAGGAUAAGUGUUCCACCUUUACAGGAGAAGGGGAGGUAUCAGUGAGGGAAUGGGUGGAUGAGGUGCAGUCAAAAUUACGCACACAUAGGAUGUCUAUUGUAGAACAGGCUAAUUUAAUUUAUGACCAUUUAGGAGGAUCAGCAAGAAAUGAGAUUUAAGUAUCGUUCUAGACAGGUCAGGAAGAUCCCAAACUAUUUUUUUCCAUCCUUCAGACUCAGUAUGGCUGUGCAGACUCACCUACUUUAUUGCAGAAUUUCCACUCUCAGAAACAGAAAGAAGAGGAGACAUUGCGUGAGUAUGCAAAUGCGCUAUUCUCUCUAAUGGAUAUUGUUAUACAACAUUCUCCUGACGGAGUUGCACAGGCAGCUAGCCUCUUACGUGAUCAAUAUGUUGAGUUUGUGUCGGAUGGGGGCGGCACGGUGGCGCGGUGGUUAGCACUGUUGCCUCACAGCAAGAAGGUCCUGGGUUUGAUUCCGCCCAGUGGCCUUUCUGUGUGGAGUCUGCAUGUUCUCCCCGUGUCUGCGUGGGUUCUCUCCGGGUUCUCCGGCUUCCUCCCACAGUCCAAAGACAUGCUCUGGGGAUCAGGUUAAUUGGGGACUUUAAAUUGCCCGUAGAUGUGUGAAUGGGAGUGUGAAUGGUUGUUUGUCUCUGUGUAGCCCUGCGAUUGGCCGGCGACCAAUCCAGGAUGUACCCUGUCUAUCGCCCGAAGUUGGCUGGGAUGGACUCCAGCCCCCCCGCGACCCUGUGUGCAGGAUAAGCGGUUUGACAAUGGAUGGAUGGAUGGAUGUGUCGGAUGGCAACCUUAGCCGUGCGCUGAAAGAACUUGUUCGUAUUAACCCCGCCUAUGAUCUCCAUGAUAUCCGUGAUGCAGCCGUCCGAUUGGAGCGAGAAGGUAGACCACGAGAAGGGAGGCCGAGAAGCUAUUCAGUCCCGUCGGUUUAUAGCAUCCAUCAGGGUGCUUCAGGUAGACCCGAAUGCAUGGGCCCCCAUGCCACUUUGAAGGCAGAGGUAGCCAAGCUACGGGAAAUGCUAAAAAGUCAGUGUUGGGGGAAAAUUGUUGAGCCUGCGUGGGGUGAGGCUCUCAGGAAUGUGACCUUUGAUGUGAGCCGGUGACUUAAGGCAGUCCAGGGUGAGAUAAGACACAGAUGAAAUCAUAUGUGCCCUGACUGACCUUUUAGAUGUUGAUUGUCUGGGUCCAUAAAGGGAGGGUCACGGGGUCACCCCUACAUCAUCUGGUACUUUUCCAACACUCCUCUUGAGGGGUGGGCUCUCCUGUCCUGAGGCAGCACAAACCCCCUAAGUAUAAAACCUCCUGUUCUUCUCUUUAACUUUGUCAGAUCUUCCUGCUCCUUUUGGGGGAAGGAACAUCUGUCGCUUUUCAGCUGAAUUGUAGUCAUUUGACUGUCUGUGCUUACGACUUGUGCUGAUGAUUUCUGUAUUCUUUAUCCUUUUCCUAUAUUCUAGUUAGUAAUAAAUACUUAAUCACAAAGCAAGCUCAAGAUACUUUUGAUUUCUCACAUGGGCUAAAUCCACAAAUUUCCACCACAGUCAGCAGGAGCAGUUUAUGCAGUUUUCUAAAACAUUGUCGGCCUUAAGCGUCCCUAAGCACCCUCAGUUUCAAUCUAGGGGUGCAUUCAUCUGUAGGCAGUGGCAACAGCCAGGCCAUUUCGCUAGGGACUGUGAGAAUGGCAGCCCCCCAAUCUGUACAAUUCCACCCUUCUGGACGGGAUGGGCCAAGGUUCUCGCAGCCGCCGUCGGAAAACUAACACCCUCUGACGGGCAGAGCCGGCAAUCAGAAGGGGUCAUGUUAGGCUCGGAUAGCAUAGUUCAGAUCGACCCUGAAUCAAUCUCUAAGUUGGUACAUCCUUGCCCCCAUGUUGUUGUCCAUAUCGCGGGGGUGGGAGUUUCCUGGUUGUUAGACACUGGAUCAAUGGUAUCCACCAUAACUGAAAGCUUCUUUAUUCAGCAUUUCCAGUCGUGGGGUCAGGAGAGGCUGCAGUCAUGCAGAUGGUUGCAGCUCAGAGCAGCUAACCAUCUAGACAUCCCCUAUGUUGGUUACUUAGAGUUAGACGUCACAGUGCUUGGCAAGGUGAUUCCAAAAUGUGGCAUUCUCAUUGUUAAGGACCCCUGCAAUCCUUACCCAAACCAGAUUACCCAGGUGUCCUGGGAAUGAAUGUUAUUGGUCAGUGUUUCGAAGAACUGUUUGGCCAACACGGAUUGGGCAUGUUUGACCUAUUAAGGAUGCGAAUAGCACCAGGCCUUGCAGUACUGUCAUCAAGGGCACCUCACACCACAGGCUGAGAAAGUAGGGGCAGUCAGAGUUAGAGGUAAGGCCAGAGUUUGUGUCCCGGCUGCCACCAUGAAACUAGUGGCAACCACUUGCUCCCAGGGAGUCUUUAAUCUUCGUGGCUCUGUACUAUUCCAACCCCCCUGAGAAUAGCAACCUCACCGGUGGCUUAUUGUUGGCACCAGCUAUCGUAAAGGUCGCACAAGGCACAGUGUACAUCCCGUUUGUUAAUGUAGGCACUGU
ensembl:lncRNA